rnacentral:rRNA from 1 species
UACGUAGGGGGCAAGCGUUGUCCGGAAUCAUUGGGCGUAAAGCGCGUGUAGGCGGCCCGGUAAGUCCGCUGUGAAAGUCGGGGGCUCAACCCUCGAAUGCCGAUGGAUACUGUCGGGCUAGAGUGCGGGAGAGGCGAGUGGAAUUCCUGGUGUAGCGGUGAAAUGCGCAGAUAUCAGGAGGAACACCAAUUGCGAAGGCAGCUCGCUGGAACGUAACUGACGCUAAGACGCGAAAGCGUGGGGAGCAAACAGG